rnacentral:lncRNA from 1 species
AUAUAGAUGCAUAUAUACAUGUCAUGUUUUUUUUUACUUACAAAGCGUAAGAAAAAAAAAAUAACUUAAUUAACUGUACUACUAAUAAAAAAAAAAAAAAAAAAGAGAUAACAACAAAUUAAAUGAAUUAUUCACCAAUUUGAAAAAUAAGACAAUGUAAAAACAAAAAAAAAAAAAAAAAAAAAAAGAACACUCCUAACACAUCUAUAUAAAAAUUAUAGUUAUUACUUACUAUGUUAUAAUAGUUUGUUUGCAUCAUAUAUAACAUAUUAUUAUUAAAGCUUUUUAAAAGUGUCAUAUAGUGAAAAGUUUUAACAUAUACGUUUUAUGUAUUAUAUGUACCUAUAUAUGUGAAUGUUAUAGGACACACCUUUUUUAAUAUUUUUAGCUGUUUAUGCGUUAAUAUUUUAGCUAUCUACUAUAUAUAUAAACAUAAUAAAGUCGUUUUUUUCUUUUUUUCUUUUUUUUUAUAAUAAUAAUUACUUAACUAAAAAAAACCAGUAGCUAAAAAAAAAUAGUAGCUAAAAAAAAAUAGUAGCUUAAAAAUAUACUACAAAUGUAAAUACAUAAAUAUUUAUUUUUUUUUUAAUUAAAAGAAUAACCCAUUACAUUUUGUGGUAUAUGUACAUUUAUGUCACAAAUGUAAAAUAUGUGAUAAAUGUUAACUUUUAGUUAUAGAAAAAACUAAUUCCAGAACAACCACUUUAAAAAAAAUGGAAAAUGAAAAAAUGAUAGAUGUAAAAGAAGACAACGAAAAAAAAGAAGUUGACGAAAAAAAAGUUGACAAAAAUGAGAAAAACUAUACAGGUGAAGUAAACGUGCACUAUAAAAACGGAGAUUCCUUUUUUGGAAUAUUAUUGAACGGACAAAAGACAAAUGGGAAAUAUAUUUAUGCAAAUAAAAGAAUAUAUGAAGGUCCUUUCAAAAAUGAUAAAAAGUGUGGUUUAGGGAGACUUAGUUAUAAUAAAAAAAGUUUUUAUUACGGUAAAUAAUUAAAAAUGGAACGAAAAAUAAGUUAAUAGUUAAAUAAUUAAUAAUACAUAUAGU